rnacentral:rRNA from 1 species
CCAGUGGCGAAGGCGGAUCUCUGGACCUUUCCUGACGCUGAGAAGCGAAAGCGUGGGGAGCAAACAGGCUUAGAUACCCUGGUAGUCCACGCCGUAAACGGUGGGUACUAGGUGUGGGGAACAUUCCACGUUCUCCGUGCCGCAGCUAACGCAUUAAGUACCCCGCCUGGGGAGUACGGCCGCAAGGCUAAAACUCAAAGGAAUUGACGGGGCCCCGCACAAGCGGCGGAGCAUGCGGAUUAAUUCGAUGCAACGCGAAGAACCUUACCUGGGUUUGACAUAUGCCGGAAACAUCUAGAGAUAGGUGCCCCUUUUUGGUCGGUAUACAGGUGGUGCAUGGCUGUCGUCAGCUCGUGUCGUGAGAUGUUGGGUUAAGUCCCGCAACGAGCGCAACCCUCGUCCUAUGUUGCCAGCGGAUAAUGCCGGGGACUCAUAGGAGACCGCCGGGGUCAACUCGGAGGAAGGUGGGGAUGACGUCAAGUCAUCAUGCCCCUUAUGUCCAGGGCUUCACGCAUGCUACAAUGGCCGGUACAAAGAGCUGCGAACCUGCAAGGGUGAGCGAAUCUCAAAAAGCCGGUCUCAGUUAGGAUCGGGGUGUGCAACUCCGCACGCCCACGGAUAGUCACACGUCAGGCUGAGUACUCAUCAGAUCAGACUACGCGAGCAGAAUUAUUUA